GUAAAGUUAGCAUUAACAUGUACAUACAAUGCUGUCAGCAUGAAAAAAUUUAGUUCUAUAAAGACAACAUUAACUCAAUAAUCCUUAUAGUAGUUAAGGGAGAAUGUGGGAUAAGAUUCUUGUUUCUCAACUACAUUGUUCUAGGUUCAGUCCCACUGUAUGACACCCUAGACAAGAGUUUUCUACUAUAGCCCCAGAUCAACCAAAGUCUUGUGAGUGAAAUUAGUAAAUGGAAACUGAAGAAGACCAUAGUACACACACAUAGUGCAAGCAUAACUGUGAAGCUAGAAGUUUGCUGCUCAAGCACAUGGUUCCCAGUUCAAUUCCACUAUUUCAACCACCCUAGAAUCUCCAAGGCCAUCCUCAUACACCAAAAGAAUUCAACCAUCAACAGCAGAAGAGAAGUUACGGGAAGCUAGCUGGUUGCUGUAGCAACAACUUUCUGCACAUGUCCACUCCACACACUCACACGUCUGCAAGAUUCAUUAAUUUCUUGAGGAUGGGGUCAUAACCCUGAAAUAUUGAAUGCAAGUCAUUUGACUGUGGCCACGCUGGAGCAACACCUUUAGUUGAAGACCAUACUGUCAUGUGAAGGCCUGAAGGCCAUAGCGUAAUGUGAAGGCCAUAGUGUAAUGUGAAGGCACAUGAACAAAAGAACACUGAAGAAGAAAAACAACUUGAAAAAAUUGGUAGUGGCCUGUACCAGCAAAGAAUGUACAGUGAAAUUCAUGUAGAAUGGAGAGAAUGGGAAUCUGAUGCUGCAAGAUAGUUCUUUUGUAGUAGGACUUAUUCUUUGUAAGCCUAGUACUUAUUCUAUUGGUCUCUGUUGCUGAACCGUUAAAUUAUGGGAGUGUAAACACACCAACAUCUGUUGUAAAGCGAUAGUGGGGAGACAAACACAGACACACAAACAUAUACGCACACACACACACACACACACAUAUAUAUAUACAAAGGGCUUCUUUCAGUUUCCGUCUACCAAAUCCACUCACAAGGCUUUGGCUGGCUGAAGGCUAUAGUAAGAGACACUUGCCCAAGGUGCCAUACAGUGGGACUGAACUCAGAACCAUGUGAUUGAUAAGCAUGUGGUUAGUUAUCUGUACAGGUUUUCUGUAGAAAUUAUAGCCAGCACUGACAUGUUAUGAUGUUUCAUAUCCAAGUAUGCCUAAUGUAAACAACAAUGAGAUUGAAGAUGAGAAAUGGGUAAUGGGUGUAUAUGCUAUAUUUCAGGAGUUCUUACUCCUUCAUCAACAACACAUCCAACCCAUUAACCAUCCUCAAACUCAUUUCUUAAAUAGCCACAAAAUAUUGCGAUCUAAUAUUAUUGGGUCUACCAAUUUUACACAUCAAACACAUUCCUGGCAGCUGGUAUGUAGAUAUUGAUGACUUGUGAUGCUGACGUUCUAGCCAGGACCAUUUCACCUUUUUUCUUCCUGUUUUACUGGUUAUAGCUUAGCCAAAGUCUCAAGGCUGCUUGGACUAAAGAAAGAUUAACCCACAACCCUUAGGCUAUCUCCAGACCAGAUACUUGGUCCAAAUACCUGUUACAAAGUACUGAAAGCCCAGUUAGUGGUGUUAAACUGUGUGAGCGCUUAAGUCUACUGCCACAGAACAUGUACAGAUGACCUGACUUCUGGAUGGGCUUCUGUGCAGUUUACAUCCAAUUUCAUUCACAAAGCAUUGGUUGAUCUGCAGUUAUGGUAAAAGACAUUUACUCAUGGUGGCAUGCAGUGAGACUGAACCCAGAAUGUUAUGAACAUGAAGCAAACUUCUUAACUUCAGAGCAUGCCUGCAUCUAAAUCUACUAGUUCAGUGGGUCCUUCCUUUUUUUUUUAAGACAUUGUGUGAUUGUUGUAAAUGAAGGUUAUUCAUUUUCAGUCUUCUGCAAAACAUGCCUAGCCAUGAGGAAAUAUUACCUUGUUUGGAAACAAGUAAGGGUUAGUGACUGGAAGGGCAUCUGGUCAAAGAAAAUCUGCUUCAAUAAACUCCAUACAACCCAUGCAAGCAUGGAAAAGUGGAUUUUGAAACAAUAAUGAUGACAGAGUGGAACU